AAGCUAAUUUGAGAAUGCAAAUGUGCAUUUAAUUAAUAUGUUACUUGUGACCCUAUAUGACUCACAGGCAGCAUAGAGGCUGUGGUGAGCUGUGCGCUGUGGAAGGCACGAAGGCUGGGUGACGGGAAGCGGUGUGGCCCCUGUGGGCACGGAGGUCCAGGUGAGUGAGCCAGUGAGGGAGAAGUACAACAAGGUGUUCAGAAAUUGGAGAGAUAAGGGAUAAGAUCCAGAAGGAGAGAGGGAAGGCUGGGAAAUGUGUUACAGAAAAACAGAAGAAGACCAUCUUCCAUUUGGACGAUCAAGAAGGUCCUGUUCUGGAAGCAGCUAAAAAGGCCUCCAGAGAGUGUGGGGCUUCCUUUCAGGGAAGCCUGGAUGGUGAUAGGUCAUUGAGGGAUCAGACUUACCUUUGCUGAUAUUAUCUGUAGAUGGUUUAUGGUCUGAAGUUCCCUUGCUGAGUAGGAGAGGUUAGCCCUAGUAUCUGUGUGUUAAACUGCGGUGGCACAAGGUGGGAAAUCAGGGUAUUAUAUAAAGAAAAACCAUGGGAGGCUGAAGACAGGCUGCUGUCACUAUGGAUGUCCUGUCUGUAAGGGACAAGCCUCCCUCUUCCCUUCCCUCUUCCAUUGGGCAUACGAGUAGCCCAAUUCCAUGCCAUUACAGGGGUGAUUUCAUUUCACUCUGCUAAUAAGCGGCAAAGGGAGGAUUUGAACCUUGGAACUCUUCAGAGCCAGAGCCUAUAUUAUUAGGGCAGACCAUAUGAAAUGGUCUUUCUUCUACAUCUUUCGAAUUGAAUAUUGUUCAUUCCAUCUCAUGCUCUUUAGAGCCUCUGGGCGCUGAGAAGCUCCUAGAAGCAAACAGACCCAGUAAUCAAUCCCAGCUGCCGUGCGAGGUCCUGCCUCUUUUGUCACAUGUGAUGCCAACAGCAGGGAAGAAGUUUUUCAAGUGCAAAGGUGAUGAAUGUGUGAGAUUUUCCAACCCACGGGAGUUACCAGAAUGGAUUCCCUUCAGGUUCUGCCGGGGGUGGGGAGUCGGAGCAAGUGAGACAUAUUUCUACCGCUUCAAGCCUGCACGGUGCCUACAACAACGUUGCCGUUGUGGUGACGACUUAACCCUACUCGAGCGCUGAGAACCCUGGGAUCCGGGCAAGUUGGCAAAGCAGACGCAGGAGGACCUCCUGCUCCCUGCUUCAGGCUCCUGGUUUCCUGCACUUCG
rnacentral:lncRNA from 1 species